rnacentral:rRNA from 1 species
UGAGGAAUAUUGGUCAAUGGGCGAUGGCCUGAACCAGCCAAGUAGCGUGAAGGAUGACUGCCCUCUGGGUUGUAAACUUCUUUUAUAAAGGAAUAAAGUCGGGUAUGCAUACCCGUUUGCAUGUACUUUAUGAAUAAGGAUCGGCUAACUCCGUGCCAGCAGCCGCGGUAAUACGGAGGAUCCGAGCGUUAUCCGGAUUUAUUGGGUUUAAAGGGAGCGUAGAUGGAUGUUUAAGUCAGUUGUGAAAGUUUGCGGCUCAACCGUAAAAUUGCAGUUGAUACUGGAUGUCUUGAGUGCAGUUGAGGCAGGCGGAAUUCGUGGUGUAGCGGUGAAAUGCUUAGAUAUCACGAAGAACUCCGAUUGCGAAGGCAGCCUGCUAAGCUGCAACUGACAUUGAGGCUCGAAAGUGUGGGUAUCAAACAGG